GGAAGAUUCGCCUAAUGGUAUGGCAGCAGUUUGCUAAAUUGCCGACCCUAAUACGGUUAUGAAGGUUCGAGUCCCUCAUCUUCCACCA
rnacentral:tRNA from 1 species